rnacentral:rRNA from 1 species
UACAGAGGCCUCGAGCGUUAGGCGGAAUCACUGGGCUUAAAGCGUGUGUAGGCGGCUUGGUAAGUACCUUGUGAAAUCCCACGGCUUAACCGUGGAACUGCUCGGUAUACUGCUGAUCUUGAGCCACUCAGGGGCUACCGGAACAAAUGGUGGAGCGGUGAAAUGCGUAGAUAUCAUUUGGAACGCCAAUGGUGAAAACAGGUAGCUGGGGGUGUGCUGACGCUGAGACACGAAAGCCAGGGGAGCGAACGGG